UGGGGAAUUUUGGACAAUGGGGGCAACCCUGAUCCAGCCAUGCCGCGUGCGGGAAGAAGGCCUUCGGGUUGUAAACCGCUUUUGUCGGGGAAGAAACGGUCUGCGCUAAUACCGCGGGCUAAUGACGGUACCCGAAGAAUAAGCACCGGCUAACUACGUGCCAGCAGCCGCGGUAAUACGUAGGGUGCAAGCGUUAAUCGGAAUUACUGGGCGUAAAGCGUGCGCAGGCGGCUUUGCAAGACAGAUGUGAAAUCCCCGGGCUUAACCUGGGAACUGCAUUUGUGACUGCAUGGCUGGAGUGCGGCAGAGGGGGAUGGAAUUCCGCGUGUAGCAGUGAAAUGCGUAGAUAUGCGGAGGAACACCGAUGGCGAAGGCAAUCCCCUGGGCCUGCACUGACGCUCAUGCACGAAAGCGUGGGGAGCAAACAGG
rnacentral:rRNA from 1 species